rnacentral:rRNA from 1 species
UACGGGGGAGCAAGGCGUUGUUCGGAUUUACUGGGCGUAAAGGGCGCGUAGGCGGCCAGCACAAGUCAGUUGUGAAAUCUCCGAGCUUAACUCGGAAAGGUCAACUGAUACUGUGCGGCUAGAGUGCGGAAGGGGCAACUGGAAUUCUUGGUGUAGCGGUGAAAUGCGUAGAUAUCAGGAGGAACACCGGUGGCGAAGGCGGGUCUCUGGGCCGAUGACUGACGUGGAGGAGCGAAAGCGUGGGGAGCGAACAGG